rnacentral:rRNA from 2 species
GGGUUGUGAGGUUAAGCGACUAAGCGUACACGGUGGAUGCCCUGGCAGUCAGAGGCGAUGAAGGACGUGCUAAUCUGCGAUAAGCGCCGGUAAGGUGAUAUGAACCGUUAUAACCGGCGAUUUCCGAAUGGGGAAACCCAGUGUGACUCGUCACACUAUCAUUAACUGAAUCCAUAGGUUAAUGAGGCGAACCGGGGGAACUGAAACAUCUAAGUACCCCGAGGAAAAGAAAUCAACCGAGAUUCCCCCAGUAGCGGCGAGCGAACGGGGAGGAGCCCAGAGCCUGAAUCAGCAUGUGUGUUAGUGGAAGCGUCUGGAAAGGCGCGCGAUACAGGGUGACAGCCCCGUACACAAAAGCGCAUGUGUUGUGAGCUCGAUGAGUAGGGCGGGACACGUGGUAUCCUGUCUGAAUAUGGGGGGACCAUCCUCCAAGGCUAAAUACUCCUGACUGACCGAUAGUGAACCAGUACCGUGAGGGAAAGGCGAAAAGAACCCCGGCGAGGGGAGUGAAAAAGAACCUGAAACCGUGUACGUACAAGCAGUGGGAGCACCCUUCGGGGUGUGACUGCGUACCUUUUGUAUAAUGGGUCAGCGACUUAUAUUCUGUAGCAAGGUUAACCGAAUAGGGGAGCCGGAGGGAAACCGAGUCUUAACCGGGCGUUAAGUUGCAGGGUAUAGACCCGAAACCCGGUGAUCUAGCCAUGGGCAGGUUGAAGGUUGGGUAACACUAACUGGAGGACCGAACCGACUAAUGUUGAAAAAUUAGCGGAUGACCUGUGGCUGGGGGUGAAAGGCCAAUCAAACCGGGAGAUAGCUGGUUCUCCCCGAAAGCUAUUUAGGUAGCGCCUCGUGAAUUCAUCUCCGGGGGUAGAGCACUGUUUCGGCUAGGGGGCCAUCCCGGCUUACCAACCCGAUGCAAACUGCGAAUACCGGAGAAUGUUAUCACGGGAGACACACGGCGGGUGCUAACGUCCGUCGUGAAGAGGGAAACAACCCAGACCGCCAGCUAAGGUCCCAAAGUCAUGGUUAAGUGGGAAACGAUGUGGGAAGGCCCAGACAGCCAGGAUGUUGGCUUAGAAGCAGCCAUCAUUUAAAGAAAGCGUAAUAGCUCACUGGUCGAGUCGGCCUGCGCGGAAGAUGUAACGGGGCUAAACCAU